CAUGGGAAUCUGAUCUGCUCAAUUUUCUGCACAAAUGAGACGAAAACUGGGUAAAAUUGACGAAUAUUUUCGAAGAUACGAUGCUUAGAAGAUUAGGUGGUCGAUAAGGGGUAGUUCCAACCAUACCGAGAGCGUCAUUUUUCGAGAGCGUCAUUUUUGACAGACAUAUUUUUCUGGACAAGUGGGCAAACCUUUCAAGGUAUAUCUUAAUAAAGAUGAAUUUUUGGAGCAGAAGGCUGAGAGCCUUCGUAACUUAGACAUAUGUCACCAGGGGUCUCGAGAUGAGGCAUCCUUGAUCUUUUAUAAAGAUCAUAGUAUUGUUAGGAAUAAGACUUAAUGUUAACAGAUGAAUAUUAUUUUCGGAUCUUAACUGAUUAUAGAUCCUUGAUCUUUAUAGGACAGAUAGUUGAGAUUAGGAUUUUGGUGAGUUCCUGAUAGUUCAGGCAAUGUUGUAAAUAUGUAAAUUAUUCUAUUAUCUAGGAUGCCUCCUAGGAUAAAGGCAGUCAUUUUCUAUUUCGAAUAAUCAGAGCCUUUACUCCUUCUGAAAUAGACAUGUAUAGUUAAAGUAGAGGGAUUAUUAGGGAUGUAUUGAUUUAUCAAUACAAUCUUUUCAUGAGACGAUUAGGUUUAUUGGUUAGUUUUCUUUGAAAAACAAUAAGGAAAGAAUCCUUGGAGGAAUUCGGAUUAUCCUUGGAUUUAAGUUUGUUUAUAAAGAUGACAAGUAAGUUCUGAUAGUUGUGAUAGGAAGGAAUGUAAGAAUUUGAGACUGUCCUAUCUAAAGACUUGGGUUAGUAAAAAGUGAAAUGAUAAGCCGACAAAGUGAGCUAUCAUUGAAUACUUUAAGGGCGGAUAGGCCAGUUUGGUAAAAUGACCCGUUGAGCGGUGACUCUGUUGGAUUGAAGUUGAAAGUCAGUUUAUUUGAGCGUUUUAGCUCAGGAUAAGGAAAGAGUUUAGUGGAUGGCUAAGGGCCAAGUUUUAGAAAGUGAUAGAGAGGCUAGACGUAGCCGAGAAUAGAAUUUCUUUUCAUACUUUUUGCUGGAGUGAUAAGUAUAUUUGUAGGAAGGAAACUAGUACAGUUCGAUCAACUUACUUUGAUCUGUCUCAUGAUAGUAGAGAUUUAGAACAUAGAUAGAAUUUAAGACAUAUUACUUGGUUUUUAAGAAUAUUUAUUGUUGUCAUAUAGAAAUGACGACAAGUACUUUGAAUAAAUUAUGACGACAAAACAUGGUCAUGAGGUGUCGUCUGUAGAUAUUGUACAUAGUAUACAUAGAUCAAAGAAGAAUUUAUUGAACAGAACACAACUUGAUAUUGGCAACAAUGCCUAGCUGUUAGUUAAAGUUUAUUAAUAAAGAAUUACUUGUUAUUGAUUCAGUUGAACAAUUACUGAAUACAGAGUUAUUUAUUUUACUAGAGUAACUGUCUGGUGUGAACGUUAGUUACAGAAGUGACAACAAUGAUUGGUACAUUUACUUCUACUCGAGAUAGCAAAUUUAGAAAAUGAGAUCAUUUAUAGAACGAAAUCACUUUUCCAUGUCAUUGUGCCUUAGAUUGCUCGCUACCGAUUAUGAAGAGUUAGCACGAGAGACUGUGAGAGAGAGACCUUUAAUGUAUUGAGUUGUAGUAUAUUGUUUUGGCAAGUUCGACUUUGCCAGUGAGGCACUGAGUGUGCGGUGUUGCACGUGUGUGCUAUGCUGAAUCAUGAGUUGUUGUUGAUGAAUUAGAUUAUUGGUGCACGUUUUAGUGUGCAAAAUUACUAGUUUGCUUGUCUUGUUCGAUGGUGAAUUCUUAGAUUAAUUUAUUAGUAAAUGAUAGAAUCAUGCAAUGUUUCCGCUUACCAGAAUUGUUGCAAUGAGGCAGAUUUCUGAGAAGAUGCUGGAGAGCAUGUGAAAUAGUGUACACGAAGGAAGGUGCAAA